GGAAUAAUUGCUUUUCCUCAAUGAAGCUUGGUGAUGAGACUGGGGAAGAAUGGUGUGGAGGAAGUUUCGGAAUUGGGUCCUCUCUGAAACUUGGCUUUGCAGCUCCGAAAGUGACCAUACUUAUAGCUAAUUAGCUCACUUGCAACAUUUGAUGUUUGUAGGAGAAAGAUAUUGAGGGGUUGAGAUAAGGAAGGAAGCACUCUGGGCAUGCUUUGCAGUGGAACCUGAUUUUGAGGCAAUGAUUUCGGUUAGUUCAUAUCACUGGAUCUUGAUUAUUAUUCUGGAAUAUAUUUCCAU